rnacentral:lncRNA from 1 species
AUUAAUUGAAACUGCAAGGACUAAAGGUGACAAUGUUCAAAAGUUGAGCAUUGAAGCAUUCUAGAACCUCCCUUAGAGGUGGGGAACGAAAUCUAGAGUGUCCUAGGGUUUCCUUGGUCUCUAAGGGUGCCUUGGAAGCCUUAGGGAGGAAGUUAAGGGAUUAGGGUUAUCCAAGAUACACCUGCCUUAUCCUAAACCUUCCUUAUCACCUAUAUAAACCCCUAUAGGGUUGGAUUUCGUUGAAGGCGCUCCAAGAGAGGCUUAGAGCCGAAUUUUCACUUCCUUUCUUUCUCCAUAGUAAUCCUUGGUUGCUAGGUUUGUUUGUGAGCCAUUAGAGGCGCGACACUUGUGGCGCUUGCUUUCAAAGACAAGAAGAUUCAAGAUUUAAGUUGUUAUUACAAUAUAACAACAAGAGGUAUGUAUUUCAUCUUUAUUUGUGAAUUUCGAAAUCCCUAGAAGCUUGUUAGGGUUCUUUACAUUUUCAUAAUGUUGUAUAACUAAUAGUGAUAACAUAGAUCCAACUCUAGGGUUGCAUGCACACAUAUGAUUGUUUGUAUAAAACCCAUCAGUGGUAUCAGAGGCAUUGGUUUUUUGUUUUCAAUUAGCAUUAUACAAAUGUAUGAACUUGAAAAAUUAGGGUUUAUGGCCAAUAAUCCCUAGGAGGAAUGAAUUUUUGAAAUUAGGGUUCUUGAACCCUGAUUUACGAAAUUUGGUUAGGGUUUCCCAAACCCUUUCCUUAGCCUCCAAGAUUUCGAAAUUUGCCUCCUUCCCCAAGAUAAGAUCCUAUUUUUUAGGGAUUUGGAUAAAUGCCAUAUCUUGUAAAUAUCUUUUAAGUGUUUAAAUUUGGUAAUUAAAGAUUUUGAAUUAUCUCAUCCCAUAAUUGCGAAUUUUAGGGGAUUUAAGGGAUUAGGUUAAAUUAAUUGUUUAAUUUAAAAGAUAUCCUUACCAAAAUAGAAGAUUAUUGUCAAAUUAAUUAGAUAAUCAUUGCCUUAUGUGAUAAACUUGAUUUAUUUGAAUUAUUUGAUAGAUUAUCUUGCAAGAAAUUGAAUUAGGUCAUAUUUAGAUAAUUACUAAUUAAUUGGUUAAUCUAGAAUGUUCUCGGUUAUGUUUUGAAAAGUUUCAAAACUUGCCCUCAAGUUUUGGAAUUUAAUUUUUGAUUAAAAGUUUAAUUUUUAAAUGUUAAAUUCUAAAACCCUAGUUUUGAAAAGUUCAAAUUUCAACAUUUUAGUUUUAUUAAGUUAAUUAAAAGUAUAAUUAAAAGAAAGUUAACAAAUCCAUCAUCAUUUGGUUUAUAUUUGAUUAAAUUAAAAGUGUAAUUUAUAAAAUUAAACCACCUAGGAUUUUAAAAGUGUAAAAUACACCCUUAUACUAUGUAUAACAUUAAAAGUCUAAUAUUANCCCUUAUACUAUAUAUAACAUUAAAAGUUUAAUAUUAUAUAUAUAACUUAAACUGCUAGUCUUACCGUUAGUAGGCCUCAUUCACGAAGCUAGUCUAUAAGGGGUGUUUAAGGAAAUUGCCUAUAAAAUGGCGAUUGAAUGGGUAUCCACUCUUACCCACCACACUCUUGACUAGUGGAGGGUCGUUAGCCGAACGGGUAGGAUAGGGCAAACCCUCUCCUCAUUAAAAGUAUAAUGAAAUAUAAAGUAACUAAAUGUUUUACAAAAUUCCCAAUCCUAGUUACUUUAGGCAAAGCUGAAUUGAUGCAAUUCCAUGAAAUUACACUUUGUACCCUUGCUAAGACGUUAGUGGAGCGUGUGUGGUUAACAGGCACACUAAUUGGGUUCUAAGCAAAGGUAGUAAAGGGUGACUCGAUAUUUGUCAUAGUUCGGUGGAACGUGUGUGGUUAACCGGCACAUCGAAUAGGUGAAUGUAACAUUUGGGGCACCAUGUAUAUUUGCAUGGUUAUUCACACCCUGUUUUGUGAUCCUCGGCAUCCCAGUCACAAAUCGAGGGGCAUAUCAAGAUUUAAGCAUGCCAUUGAAAAGUUUAAUGAAUCUCAAAAGAUCUAUGAGUUUUCAAUACAUUUAAAACUUAAAUUCCUUUUUCGUUUUUCAUGGUGGAAAAUUAGUGAAUCGUCAUUCACUUACCUUCAAAUGUUCUGCAAGUUGGAUUACGACAUCCCUCUUCCAAUUUGUAGGAUGUUGUGUUGGAUCCUAGCCUUAAUAUCUCAUUUGGGUGUUUUAUUAAGGAAUCAAUCAACCAAACUUGAAUUUUCUCCCGUUUCAUAAAUGUCAAAGUCUGACAACUGUGGUCUUCCUAAAUCCGUUGGAAAUAGUUUUUUUUUUGUGAAGAUGAUAUUCCACAAUUGGAUUGUGGAAAUGGAAAUCAUGCUUUACUUCCUCCACCUCCUCCAAUAAUUCUCCCUAACCCACGUGUUCGAAGACUUGAAGAGUUCAAGGUCACUCAAGCCCUGUUGGCAAUAAGACACAAAGAUGGAAAGUCUGUGUGUGCACACAUCUUAAAGAUAAAGUCACACAUUGACAAAUUAAGGAUGUUGGGUGUCGAUGUCUCAAGGAAGUUGGUUGUUGACUUGGUUCUUCAAUCACUUCCCGAAUCAUAUGGUAAGUUCGUUAGAGAGUACUAUAUAAUGGACCAGGACAUGAACCUUAUUGACUUAUUUGUUUAUUGUUGCUGAAUCAGAAAUGAUUUGGCGCACUAGUUGAGCAAAUUUGUCUGAUAAAUCAAUAUCCUAACCUUCUAUGGAUAAUGGCAACAUUGGAAGUCCAGAAAAGUUUUCUCUACGUAAGAGAAAGGCUGAGUCUGAGAUAGUCACGUGUACCAUUCCAGUAAAAUCCAUAUGUUUCUACUGCCCAAAGAAGGGGUACUGGUUACGAAGCUGCCCAGACUACCUAAGAGAUCUAAGAGAUAGGAGAGUCAAGAUGUAUGACUCUGCUUUAGGCAAUAUCCACUAUCUAACUCUAUUAAGUUCCUAUUUGGAGAUUCUUAAUACAUGAUGUGACAAGAUUACAUUUUGAUGUUUUGAAGGAUCAACGAAAGGAAAGGUAGCUUAAAGGAAAGAGCGAGCUGAGUCUGAUAGCGAAGAAAUGGAUUACGAUCGCAUGGAUUCGAUGAUCGGAUUUUUGAGCUGCUGCUUAGAGUUAUGAUAGAUUGCUUAGGAAUAUAGCAUAGUUUUCAUUUGCAUUGUAAAGGAUAUAUUUUUCCGCAAUAAAAUAAAUUUUGAUUUUGUCUUAUUUAUAUUUCCUUGCGAUGGCAAUUAUGAGAAUUGAUGUCUAUGUGUUUCUAUUAUAAGCAAUAUUAAGUGGAUGAGAUUUUUGGUUAUAUUAUUUAUGGUAGUUUUAUAAGUAAGGAAAGAUUCCCAUCGCCCAAGUUUCAAUUGGACAGAAUCUUGGAAUCAUAUGAUUUGAAUCAUGUGAUGUAUGGAAAUCUUGAUACUUAGAAAUUUUAAGACUAAUUCCUUGACAAAGAGUCAAGUGAAGGACUAGAAGGUCUGGUACACAAUGUUGUAUGCUAGUCAACUCUAUCAUAAAUAACGAUAAGAUUAUUCGUCAUGAUUUACUAAAGGCUUAGUAAAUGUGGUUAUGCUUACAAGAUUAAAUAUUAUUCUAAAUUAUUGAGAAAUUUCAAUGAAUGGCAGAACGAAUAAGAAGAAUCAAUUAGGCAGAAAGAUAAAAGUUUCUCCAAUCUAAGAAGAAGGGAGAGUACUUUUGUAUCAUGUUUUAUGAUCGUCUUUGUAAUUGUAGGAACCAUAUUACAAUUCAUCCUCUAAGGACAUCUUAGUGCACUAGUAUGGCUAAGAAGAAGAGUCAGGAAUUGUCAAAAUGGUUAAGUCAAUAAGAUAAAUCGUACUUCAUUCCAAAAUCAAAUCCUAGAGUCAUACUCCAAGAUUGUGACUUGAGUGGCGUAAUCUUAAGUAGAAAUGUUCUUACUUUUGCAUAUUUUGGUAAGUUGUGAUGUCUUGGAUAAGACAAAGACCAACCAAUACCAAAUGUGUGUAGGUUUUAUCUUGAUAAAGACACACACUAACUCUUGAAUAUUUGUUUUUGUCAAGAAAUGUUUCUUGAUAAGAGAAUCUUAUAUGUCAAGAGGUCAGUGGGAGUCUAAGUGAUCUUGAAAAGGUUCAAGAACUAAUCAAGAGUCAACCUAUUAUUAAACACUAGCACACGACUUGAGGUUUCUAAUCUAUCGUGUUGACUUAUUCUUGUUUCCGUACCAUUCCAGUUUGGUCAACUAUGCACGUGAGUUCUAUGAGUUCUCAUGGGGUUGCAUAGAGGCUAGGCACCUUGAUCAAUGGAAAGUACAUUGAAAGAUAAAGGUGAGCUGAUCAAUAACUUGGAAGCAAUGGUAGGACCCUUUAUGGCAAGAAAUUAAGAAUGAACAAGUUCUGUCCAUAAGAGUUUGGAUUUGUCACAAACAUUAUCUUUCGAUUAAGGUUAUAAAAAAAUUCAUAUGGAUAGGAAGACAUACGCCACAAAAUCUAAGUGUCAUAAGGUUUCUCUCCUUCAUGAAAAUGAUUGUGAGGAAACGCUUUCACUAAGAGAGAUUUUGAAGAUAGCAUUAUGUAAUUUGUGUUUCUCGAAUUCGAUUAUGAUUACGGCAUCCCUCUUCAUAGUUCGAAUUGUGAGAAAUGACAAAUGGGUCUGAACAUUUUAGACUUAUUGUUAUAAGUUCUAGAAUUGUUUAGACAAACAUAUCGGUUGUCUAAAGAAAGGUGUAUGAGUUAGAGAAGCUUAGAUAAAGUUUUAUCGAAACAUCUCGUAUCAGAAAUAUGAACUUUGGUAAGAAAGAUAAUAAGCAUUGAUUUCUAGAAGUUUUGCUGAUUUCUGAAUGCAUGUCAAAGCUAGUGGGAGCAUAAGUGUUAUGCUAGUAAGGAGAUAAUCAUCAUGUUAGUAGGAACAUGAUUAUUAUUUUAAGAGUUGCGAGUCAGCAAUAUUAAUUAUAGACAACAAGAGUUUUACUUUGCCAAGUUGCAAGGGUUGAAAGAUUGUUUUGCUAUAAUUAAGGGAGAGAAUAUUGUACUUCGUUUCGAAAUCUAAGAGCUUAGAUCGAGAGAUUUUAAUCAAAUCUAGUCAAAUAUAUGAAUUGUGUUCUCAAAACUCGAUUAUGAUUACGGCAUCUCUUUUCAUAGUUCGAAUUAUGAGAACAUGACAAAUAGAAAUAUUAUGGCAAAAGACUGGUAAAGUAUAACGUCUUUAUGUAAGACAUUAUGCUUCGUGUUCCAUACGUUUCGGGUAUAGGAUCGAUCGCAUAUGCUAUAAUAAUUGACCGUUCUAAAAUUUUCCAAAUGCCUAGAGCAUUAAGAGGGAAAAAGGACUAGAACCGAACAUGACUAAGUUUAUUAAACAACUAUCAAAGGACAAUCUAAGGUUCGCCAAGGAUUGGUUGCUUGUGAAUAGUUGGAAGUAUAGUAGUGGAUGGACCAUACUUAUAUUAUUAUUACAAGAUUUGAUAAUGAGUUGUCAUAUGGAAAAUAUUGAAAUGUUUCCAUAUUGGGAGUUGGACGUUAAGAAUCUAUAUGUCUAGAUUAGAAACUUUUAUGCAAAAAAAAGGAUGUUCAAAGGAAUGUAUUUUGAAUAUGAGACUUCAUAUCUAUGAAAUUGUCUUGCAACAAUCUCCAAUAGAGGAAUUUGUAAUUUCAUUCGCAAAGACUUUGUGACCUUGGCGCUAUGACAUUACGAAAGGAUCGUUGCUUAAAAUGUUAGAAUCUAGCAUAUUCUAUAAAUAGCAAGAAUUUGGUAUUCUUACACUUGUGGUAAGGAUUAGGAGUUGUGAAAUGAUUAUGAUUGAAAAUGUGUUCAAUUAAUCUAUUACACAAAGUUAGGACCAUAGGAAAACAUAGUGUGCAUGCUAAGAGCAUGGGACAACUGUAGUUAUAAUUCAAGUAAUAAGUUGAUUACCCGAAACAACAAAUAAUGAGUAAUCAAUAUGGUGAUAAAUAAAAGGUGUUUUAUUUAUACUCAAAAGUUUGGGGCCAUAUAGGAUUAGUAUUAUUCUUGUGUUUCACUUUGCAUGUUUUGACUUCCUGAAUAAUUAAAUUAUUUUAGAAUAAUCAAAUUAUUCGAAUGUUCCACAGUCACUCAUACUUUGGGAGUAGGUAUGAAAGAAGAUUGUCGUGAAUUGGUGUGUAGAUUGUUUAAAGUGUAUUAAACAUAGCAAAGGUUUGCUGCAACGUUCAUGAGUGCUUAAGAAUAUGAUUUGAGCAUUGGAUUAAACCCACGCUCACUUAGAUCGUUUCAUGGAUUUUAUCACGAGCAAUUGGUGAGACGAUAAUAUCUUAUAUUCUUGAAACCGAGAUGUGUGAGUUGUAUCUUGCGAGUCAGUUGCACAUUGAUAAUAUGUAAACACACUAGUAACUUGGUGUUAUAAAACAUAUUGUUGUGUGUGAUUUGGUGAGUGAGUGCAAGCAAGCAUUGAGUCAAAGUUUAUCCGUUCCUUUUACCCAAAGUGGGAUAAAAGCGAUAUAUGUGGGCCCUUCGAUGAUUUAGUGAUGAAAAACGUAAAUGCUCGGCCGGGCUAGGGCUAAUUUGAUUUGUUCAAUUAGUCAGUCGUCGUAAAUCGUAAAUCGGGAAACAACAUAUAGACUGAGAGAAUGAUUUCAAACCAUGUCUCAUGUCUAUACGAUAUCUAGAAUGGAGGAAUAUAUGAUCCUUUAUCUAAAGGACAGGUUACUGAUAAGAUUAGAGUUCGACAACAUCUUUGAGAGCUACGAUUGCCAAUCGGGUUGUACUUGCAUUUAUGGUUACUAGACUUAUCCAAGUGGGAGAUUGUUGGAUUAGUGUCUAAGCCCGUAACCAUAUUUGGUAAGUACUUGACCCGGUUGUGCAUGGUCCUUUUGGGUUGCCUUCAAACCUGGCAAUGGAAUAGGAUAAUUGUUGGAGAGAGAAGAAUGAUUUAUUAAUUUAUUACUUGAUUAAUAAAUUAAUUUGAAAUCAAGAUAAAUGAUUUAUUAAUGUAUUAUGGAUAUAAUAUAUUGAUUAGAAAUCAUAUUGUUUAAUUAAUAUUUAAUCAGAAAUUAAUUUGGAAUUAAUUUUAGGAUUAAAGGAAUUAAUUGAAACUGCAGGGACUAAAGGUGACAAUGUUCAAAAGUUGAGCAUUGAAGCAUUCUAGAACCUCCCUUAGAGGUGGGGAACGAAAUCUAGAGUGUCCUAGGGUUUCCUUGGGCUCUAAGGGUGCCUUGGAAGCCUUAGGGAGGAAGUUAAGGGAUUAGGGUUAUCUAAGAUACACCUGCCUUAUCCUAAACCUUCC